rnacentral:tRNA from 1 species
GUCCGUAUCGUCUAGUGGCUAGGAUGUCACCCUCUCAAGGUGAAGACCCGGGUUCGAGUCCCGGUACGGACACCA